ACCGGUAAUUUAUACUAGCUGUCCUUCGAAACGAGAUCGGACCGAUCUGUCUACUGUAGCUUCGCCAAAGUUUGCAUAGUUCGCUAGUAUAUCAGAGAUGUAGAUUACUUGGAAAAUAGAUAAGACAUCUUUACCUAAACCCCUUACAAUAGGUGAAACUUUGAAAAUGUAAAAGUGCGUAGAUUGCAUAUAAUGGACGAAAGUAUAGGUAGGUUGUAUUUUUGUUAUGUAGGCGCUUAUAAUUGAAAGAACUCAAUUUUGCAAAGGAUUAUUAUUUUUACUAUGUUAUAUAGAUAUAACAGAUAUAUAUAUUUUUUUUAUUUUAUUAUAUAUAUUUUUUUAUAUUUAUUAUAUUGUAUUUUAUGUCUUUUUACUUGCCUUUAAUAAAAAUGAAAGUGAACAAAUAUAUUUUAACAAUAUGUGUCUUAACGUACCUAAAAAACAUAUCAUAUUAGGUUGUCCGAAAAGUGUCUUUCUUUUACAGGCACGUCUUUUACAACGAUGCAUCUUUAUACAAACAUGAAAAAUAAUUUGUCGAAUAUUGUAGUCUUUAUUUUUAUAGAACAUAAUGGAUCAUACGUAAUUCGAUAAAAUAAUAUAAAACGGAAAAUGUUAUGCAUCCAUUAUUUGCUUAUAAAACGAAAGAAACUUUUCGGACGACCUAAUAUCGUAGAGCUAACGUUUUUGCUAUAAUAUUUUAUAUUUAAGAAGUGUACACGGACUUCCGUGACUAACUCUAUAUUAUCUUAAGAAAUAAGUUCUAUAAUUCAAAAGGCGUAACAACUUCUGUACUACUUCUAAUUCUGAUAGCACGUUAUCAAGGAAACAUUAUACAGGCGAUCGUGGAGCUAUCAUGACUCGAGUCGGCCUGUUUAUCCAUGGAAAUUGUAAAUUGCACCAUUCCGAGGAAUACGGCGCAGAUUGGCCGAAGAAGAUGGUAAUGCACCCGGUAAAUUUCCAUCGUAGAAGAUGAACGUGGCUAUCUGCACGAGUAGUGGUCCGUGUGCGUUUCCAACUGGACGUUCAUUUCAAUUUGACGGCAUAUUCAGCGAGCUUGUGCCGCGCAAAUGGAUCGUUUCCUUUAUAGUAUCACGCGACUGAUUCCGUAAUUUUCAGUCGGUUUAACAGGACCCAGUUUCUAACUGCAAAUAGAUUCGACCUGUUCGUCCUUGUUUCGACGCAUCGUUGCUUUAGGAUGGCAGGCGUGAUAUCUCUUGUACAUACUUCGUACAAUUUAUCAAAGCUGCUAGUAUAAUUUUAGAUGGCGUUUAAAUUCGCCAUGUCAAUAGCUGCGGCAGGUCUGAGAAGUCCUUGAAAUUGCAAGUGGAUUUAUCGAUGUUCAAGAACUUUUUAACGAUAUAUAUUUCAAAAUACUGAAAGUUUUGAAUGGAUCUGAUCCAUUGGGCUAGCGGCUGUACCAUACACUUCGCAAAACCGUACGAGUCUUGAAAUAAAAAUCGCGAAUCUCAAAUUAAAAGUGGACAACUUUCUACGUUAAGGUCUACAGGAUCGAAAUAAAAUAUUAAAGUAUCCGAAACUUUCAAACCGAUAACAAAAAUCAACUUCUCGGCUAACUAGUUGGUCGGUUCUACCGUGUAACCGUGGAUUCAGAGUGAGCGCAAGUGAUUUUAAAUCAACCGUGCAGCGGUGUAUAUUUCGCUGGUAAUAUAACGCUGCAACCUGCCGUGCACUUUAUCAAAUUCUAUAGCGUUAUAAGCCACGCGGUACACAGCUAUGCGUCCUUGGGGAAAUAAACUUCAUUCCCCGGGAAAGUUCUGCUUUCGGAGGAGAAGAAUCUCGAGUUUUAAAUAAAUUAAGCCUUCGUUUCCAAGGGCCGUGCGCACGAGCCCGCCAGUCGGUUGUUUCAACCGAGAACAAGAACCUGAGUGAAUAAUAUAUGCCGCGUGGCAACCAAAGAGAAAACCCGCCGCAUGUUCGUGGAUGAAGACGAGGAGAGUAAGGACCAUCUCACCUUUCUCGAACCGUCACGGAUCGGACGUUUAGACAAGUUGACUGACAGGGAGGAAGCUCGAUCCAUGGGUGGAAACAAGAUGGAAAAAGGGCCAACGAAACGGGAGAGAAACGGACAAGAAGCGAGACCCGAGCCGCGACGAGUGAACGGGCUCGCUGAACUUUCUCAAUUAAAAGUUAAUUACCUUUCGGCUAAGACCACAGAAUUUCAAUCGGCAGACGAAUAAUUGUUCUCCGCGUUUGAACUACUGCCGAAGUAAUUAACAGUGUAAACAUUUACUUUUGAUUCCUGACCCGUUUUUUCCUUUCUCCCUUUUGACGUUUUCCUCUUCCGCUUUUCAUUCCUUUCUUUUAUUUUAUUAAAUUCUUCGACUCUUUUUAAUUCCUUGCUUUGCGUGGCUGAGCCUUCUCUUCGUCGUUAUCCUGGCUCGUUGGUGGGUGGAGAAAGAAACGUAACAUCGUUUGACAUCGAUGUUAAUACGACUAGACGGGGAUUAUACCGCCUGAUGGAAUUCCAGGGGUUUACUAUAGUAUCGGUAUCGGUCGAUUUCUGAUAGCUAUUUCGGUUCAAACUUCCAAGCGAUCUCCCACUGUUUCCCUUUGAUAAUAUUCUCCGAGAUUAAAAGGGAUUGAUCGAAGCGAGAGGCAAUUAUUUCCGAUAUUUAUCUUUCCGCAGUGUAAUUAUAUAGAAAAAUCAUCGGCGAAAAUUAUAUAUAUAUAUAUAUUAUAUCAAGAAUAAUGCAAAAACGUAAAUGAAAGUACUGCGGAAAGUGACAUUAAAUCGAUUUUGUAAUUACUUACUUCUGCAUAAAAAUUCACCUAGUUUCCGUUUAUGCAAUACCACCACCUAAUCGUGUAUACUAAAAAAGAAAGGGGGAAAAAAUCCAAAUAUUCAGAGAGAAAUCAGCACUCAUUGUUACUUCGACCGCGAUUAAGGGACAUCCAAUUAACGAAAAGUUCUACAGAAAAUCGCAGCUCGUGAUAAUCAAAAAAUUCCCUAAGAACCCCAAGAAAAUACACAGAUAAUCCAGCAGAUCCUUUCCUUCUGAUCUUAUAAGGUUGACUGUAGUAGAAGGCUCCUUUCGGGAAAUGGAAACGCGCUGAUGUAAUUCAGGGAUACGCGAUUCUGGCUACGAUCAUUUUGACGAGGACGUUUAAUUGAUAGCCGCGGGAUUCUGUACGCCUUAAUUAUAACGCGAUUAAUUAUGUAAUCGUCGGGGAAUGCGACGGAUUCACGCCGGAAUUAGUCUCUCGUGUAAGCUAGCCUCUCUUUUUCUCUCUCUAUACCUUUUCUUCUCCCUCUUAUUCACCCUCGACCUCUAUUCGUUUCGAUCCCUUCGUCCGUUCCUUUUCCUUUCUUUCUUUUUUUUUUUCAGACGAAAAUGGGUCUCUCGAGAGGAACGACCCCUUUACAUUUCUCAUCCGACGAGAUUUUUCGGCCAUGGCCCAGGUUUGUUCCGGGGGAUGGCUGGUUGGACAUAAAAAAGCUGGGAGAUUGCGAAAUCACGAGGUGCCACCGGCACGGGCUACGUGGUCUGGAUUCGGGAAUCGUCUUCUUCUCAUAUCUGUCUCUCUUUCUACCCUUUUUCUACCUUCCUUGCUGUCACUUGCAUCGCGGUUCGAUGUUGGGCGAAUAUUUGCGAAGCUUCGAUAAGUGAAAUUCUAUCUGCGCCGUACGGACGGGCGGGCGGUUUAAGAACGCGCCGCGCCGUCUGUAAUUUUCUGAGAACCGUGUGUGCGGAAUGUGGUAUGAGAGCGCGUAUCACCGCUGCUUCCGUGAACCCUCGCGAUUUCCAUCCCUCUUUACGUCACCAGGAUUUAGGAUCCCGAAAUCCACCGCUGUGUUUCAAAGCGAUUCCGUGUUCUGCAUCGCUAUGUCGUUCUCUGUGAAGGAUUCUUGGAACAGUCGAGAACCAUCUUGUAAGAGGCAAUUGGGUCUACGUAGUAUGUGCGAUUCUUUUCAUCGUGUUUCUUACGCUCUUUUGCUAUUACGAAUAGACAAACUUGUUCUUUGAUUUUAAUUUUAAUAUCGAUUGGAUCGUUCGAUGGUACUGCUACAAAGUAGAAACACCUUGCACCUCGAUGUUACGCUACAAAGGCACAAGAUUCAAAUAACAGAAGAAAGGAGGGAAAGGAAGUAAAUUCUUAUUUGUGUUUCGAUCCAAAAAAAAUCACGUAUUCGGCGCAAACAGAAUAAUUCAGUACUUUUCGGUCUUCAAAAGCAUGGAAGGAAGAAAGCGUCGACAAUUCACGUGACAAAUGCAAGGAAGUAGCUAGAGAAUAAAGAAAUAAAUACAUAAAAAUCUACAGAAUUUUUAUUUCAGGAGAAAUUCUUUUAUCCUUUUAUUAUGUUCGUCAUAAAAAUAGGUAUUCAAUGUAUAUUCUCGAAAUUUAGCAACGAUUAAAUUAAUAAAAAAAGAAAUAAAA